rnacentral:snoRNA from 1 species
ACCGAGGCUAGAGUCACACCUGGAUAUGAUCCGUUAUCCUGGUGUGCUAGAGUGCUCGCAGAGAAAAUGUCUUUGUAUAUUCAUUGGCUGUAGUCUGCUGUGGCCCAGUCAAUCACCAACUCAGACACAUCA